rnacentral:misc_RNA from 1 species
AAAGAGCAGAGAAAUGGGGAUUUACCAAAAAGCAAAAAGGUAGAAAAUUUAGGAUUAAUUUGCAUUAGAUUCAGAAAUUGCCAUGGGCAUGGCACCAUCCAUAAGUAAGAGAAACAGGGAGAGAGACGUUUCAAAUUGAAUACAAAAACAGCACAAACAGGAAGAGAGGGGCAAAUCACAUGGAAGAAGAGCUGCCUGCUCCGUUACGCCCUCCCUCACAUUCUUAUUAUCAUUAGGGGUUCCGUAAUUUUAAUUGUUUUCCUUUCUUUUUAUUUAUGGUUUCCUUCCUUCUCUCUCUCUCUGUAGACCCAGUUUGCUCUUGAGUUUCUUUAUCUACUUGCUCGUUUUGAAUUGGGUGCUUAAAAGGAAAGAGAGUGAAAUUGAGGUGAAUUACAGGGUUUUUUCAUCUGUUCUUCCUUUUUUAGGUGAUUUUAAGAGGGAAAAGAGGGAGAGAAACAGAGAAUUGUAGAUAGAUGGAGGAGAGUGUUUUGUGUCAGUGGACCGUGUUCAGAUCUCUGCUCGCAAUUCUUCAGUGGUGGGGAUUCAAUGUUACUGUUAUUAUCAUGAACAAGUGGAUCUUCCAGAAAUUGGAUUUCAAGUUUCCACUCUCAGUAUCUUGUGUUCACUUCAUAUGCUCAUCCAUUGGAGCUUAUCUUGUAAUCAAGGUGUUGAAGCUUAAACCACUAAUAGUGGUUGACCCUGAAGAUCGCUGGCGAAGGAUAUUUCCUAUGUCAUUUGUAUUCUGUAUCAACAUAGUUUUGGGGAAUGUAAGCUUACGUUACAUUCCAGUUUCAUUUAUGCAAACAAUCAAGUCGUUUACUCCUGCAACCACAGUUGUUUUGCAGUGGUUGGUUUGGAGAAAAUACUUUGAUUGGAGAAUUUGGGCUUCUUUAGUACCUAUUGUUGGAGGAAUACUCCUUACUUCUGUUACUGAGCUUAGUUUUAACAUGUUUGGAUUUUGUGCUGCCUUAUUUGGAUGUUUGGCCACUUCGACAAAGACAAUCCUUGCAGAAUCUCUGCUGCAUGGAUACAAAUUUGACAGCAUUAACACGGUGUACUACAUGGCGCCUUUCGCAACCAUGAUCCUGGGAGUACCAGCAAUACUACUUGAAGGUAAUGGGGUUGUAGAUUGGUUUUACACUCACCAAUCUGUCUGGUCUUCCCUUGUCAUCAUUUUCAGCUCUGGGGUGGUGGCUUUCUGUCUUAACUUCUCCAUCUUUUACGUGAUUCAUUCCACAACUGCAGUUACAUUCAAUGUUGCUGGAAACCUUA